rnacentral:lncRNA from 1 species
UAUGAAGACUAUUUAUUUAUUUAUUUAUUUUCUUUUUUAACUUUAAGUGCCUUUUUUUCAGUCAUAUGAAGACUCUUAAUCAGUUCUGUGGAGAGGCCCACAAGAGGAGAAACUGAGGCCUCCAACAACAUCCAGCACCAACUUGCCAGCAAUGAUUGCAAAUACAGAAAAGCCACUUGAAACACGGCAAGAAGGCGGCUGUCUACAGGCCAGGAAGAGAGCGCUCAACAGAUACUAACCCUGAUGGCAUCUUAAUCUUGGAUUUCUGGCCUCUAGAACUGUGAGAAAAUAAAUUUCUGUUUUUAC